UUGAUGGGGGUUUGCAUUUAAAAAUGUUGACUAUGAUUUAACUAAUUCUGAUGCAUCUAGUAUUCUAUACUCGAGUAGUCUUGACUUUUGCAACACAUUAGUUCAAUUAAACUAAUGCGAAGCGUAAACUGUUUCGGGGAAACAACAGUUAAGGCCAAUCACUACAGGUACCGAGCUUGUCAUCAGGUAGCAGUAAGUUAGCUUCAUUGACAGGGGGUCACCAUAUUGAUGGUUUUCUCCUGCAGGAUGUUGUACGAUGAAACUCAUAUACCCAGCACGUCAUCAGGUAACAGUAACUCAGCUUCAAGGGUAGGAGGUCACACAGGGAUCACCAUGCUGACGAUCUUCUGCAGGGCAUUGAACACCGAAGUGCAAAUACCCAGCACAUCGUCAGGUAACAGUAACUCAGCUUCAAGGGUAGAGGUCACACAGGGAUCACCAUGCUGACGAUCUUCUGCAGGGCAUUGAACACUGAAGUGCAAAUACCCAGCACAUUGUCAGGUAACAGUAACUCAGCUUCAAGGGUAGGAGGUCACACAGGGAUCACCAUGCUGACGAUCUUCUGCAGGGCAUUGAACACCGAAGUGCAGAUACCCAGCUUGUCAUCAGGUAGUAGUAACUCAGCCUCAGGAUGACUCUUGCUGAAGUUCUCCUUGGCUUGUUUGAUUACAUAUUUUUGGUGAUAAUUGAAUAAUUUUGAAUCGCAGCAGACGAAUGACAGGUUCUAUCCGCCCCCAAGAUCUUGAUUGAGAUGCAUUUUCAUCACCUCUCUUUUUCUGACUCAAUGUACUUCCGCCUACAGGCAUUGAAGUAGGUAGCCUUGCUAGUCCAGGGAAACAUUUUGGUGAGAAAGCAAUACAUUGGUACCAAAUCACUGAAGUCAUACUUCUUGGAAGAGCUAUUUGUAAAUGCAUGGUUGGCUUACAGGAAGACUGAAAUUGAAAUUUCUGUUCAACAUGGGCCAAAAGACAUACAUUCCAUCAAAGCAUUCAAAAGACAAAAUUAUGGGUACCAGAAAUCUAGAUACGAUAGAGGUUAUCAGGCAGCAAGAGUGAGCUUUGUUCAGUGAAGCCUUAUAUCUACAAAUUGCUUGAAAAACAUCAACAAAUAAGUCAUGAUAAAUUUGUUUUAUACUUUCUAUAUUUGUGGAAUUCUUACUCACAUCUGCAAUCAAAAAUAAAGUUGUAUUCAAAAUAUCA